UUUCCGUAGGUGAACCUGCGGAAGGAUCAUUCAUAAUAAAGUGUUUUAUGGCACUUUUUAAAAAUCCAUAUCCACCUUGUGUGCAAUGUUAGAUCUCGUCAAUCUUGGCGAGAUUUUUAUACAUCAACUCAUUCUUUAACUAAUUUGUCUGAAAAAUAUUAUGAAUACUUAAUUCAAAAUACAACUUUCAACAACGGAUCUCUUGGCUCUCGCCUCGAUGAAGAACGCAGC
rnacentral:misc_RNA from 1 species